AGCGAACGCUGGCGGCAGGCCUAACACAUGCAAGUCGAACGAACUCUUCGGAGUUAGUGGCGGACGGGUGAGUAACACGUGGGAACGUGCCUUUUGGUUCGGAAUAACUCAGGGAAACUUGUGCUAAUACCGAAUGUGCCCUUCGGGGGAAAGAUUUAUCGCCAUUAGAGCGGCCCGCGUCUGAUUAGCUAGUUGGUGAGGGAACGGCUCGCCAACGCGACGAUCAGUAGCUGGUCUGAGAGGAUGACCAGCCACGCUGGGACUGAGGCACGGCCCAGACUCCUACGGGAGGGAGCAGUGGGGAAUCUUGCGCGAUGGGCGAAAGCCUGACGCAGCCAUGCCGCGUGAAUGAUGAAGGUCUUAGGAUUGUAAAAUUCUUUCAGCGGGGACGAUAAUGACGGUACCCGGAGAAGAAGCCCCGGCUAACUUCGUG
rnacentral:rRNA from 1 species